GGCACACAGAGAAGGGCGAAUCGUUA
rnacentral:rRNA from 1 species